CCUUCACUAGAUGGUAAUCUAUUGACUACCAUGGUGUUACGGUAACGAGAAUUAGGGUUCGACUCCGGAGAGGGAGCCUUAGAAACGGCUACCACGUCCAAGGAAGGCAGCAGGCGCGAAACUUAUCCACUGUUGAGUAUGAGAUAGUGACUAAAAAAUAUAAAGACUCAUCCUUUUGGGAUGAGUUAUUUCAAUGAGUUGAAUAUAAAUUAUUCUUCGAGUAGCAAGGAGAGGGCAAGUCUGGUGCCAGCAGCCGCGGUAAUUCCAGCUCUCCUAGUGUAUCUCGUUAUUGCUGCGGUUAAAAAGCUCGUAGUUGGAUCUAGGUUACGUGCCGCAGUUCGCAAUUUGCGUUAACUGUGGUCGUGACUUCUAAUUUGCUGGUUUAAGGUUGGGUUCGCCCUUCAACUGCCAGCAGGUUUACCUUGAAUAAAUCAGAGUGCUCAAUACAGGCGCUUGCUUGAAUAGCUCAUCAUGGAAUAAUGAAACAGGACUUCGGUUCUUUUUGUUGGUUCUAGAAUUGAUCUAAUGGUUAAGAGGGACAAACCGGGGGCAUUCGUAUCAUUACGCGAGAGGUGAAAUUCGUGGACCGUAGUGAGACGCCCAAUAGCGAAAGCAUUUGCCAAGAAUGUCUUCAUUAAUCAAGAACGAAAGUCAGAGGUUCGAAGGCGAUUAGAUACCGCCCUAGUUCUGACCGUAAACGAUGCCAUCUCGCGAUUCGGAGGGUUCAUGCCCUACCGAGGAGCUACCCGGAAACGAAAGUCUUUCGGUUCCGGGGGUAGUAUGGUUGCAAAGCUGAAACUUAAAGAAAUUGACGGAAGGGCACCACAAGGCGUGGAGCUUGCGGCUUAAUUUGACUCAACACGGGAAAACUCACCCGGUCCGGACACUAUUAGGACUGACAGAUUGAAAGCUCUUUCUCGAUUUGGUGGUUGGUGGUGCAUGGCCGUUCUUAGUUGGUGGAGUGAUUUGUCUGGUUUAUUCCGAUAACGAGCGAGACUCUAGCCUGCUAAAUAGUCGACGAAUCUUCGGGUUCGUAUAACUUCUUAGAGGGAUAAGCGGUGUUUAGCCGCACGAGAUUGAGCGAUAACAGGUCUGUGAUGCCCUUAGAUGUCCGGGGCUGCACGCGUGCUACACUGGUGGAGUCAACGGUUUUUCCUAUGCCGAAAGGUAUCGGUAAACCGUUGAACUUCUUCCAUGUCCGGGAUAGG
rfam:Caenorhabditis japonica strain DF5081 Contig8906.1, whole genome shotgun sequence.